UAAAGAUUCAUCGCUGAUAGAUAGGCAUGCGUUCCAUUAGGCAGUUGGCGGGGUAACGGCCCACCAAACCGACGAUGGAUAGGGGUUCUGAGAGGAAGGUCCCCCACAUUGGUACUGAGACACGGACCAAACUCCUACGGGAGGCAGCAGUGAGGAAUAUUGGUCAAUGGGCGCGAGCCUGAACCAGCCAAGUCGCGUGAGGGAUGAAGGUUCUAUGGAUCGUAAACCUCUUUUAUAAGGGAAUAAAGUGUGGGACGUGUCCUAUUUUGUAUGUACCUUAUGAAUAAGGAUCGGCUAACUCCGUGCCAGCAGCCGCGGUAAUACGGAGGAUCCGAGCGUUAUCCGGAUUUAUUGGGUUUAAAGGGUGCGUAGGCGGCCUUUUAAGUCAGCGGUGAAAGUCUGUGGCUCAACCAUAGAAUUGCCGUUGAAACUGGGGGGCUUGAGUAUGUUUGAGGCAGGCGGAAUGCGUGGUGUAGCGGUGAAAUGCUUAGAUAUCACGCAGAACCCCGAUUGCGAAGGCAGCCUGCCAAGCCAUGACUGACGCUGAUGCACGAAAGCGUGGGGAUCAAACAGGAUUAGAUACCCUGGUAGUCCACGCAGUAAACGAUGAUCACUAGCUGUUUGCGAUACAGUGUAA
rnacentral:rRNA from 1 species